rnacentral:misc_RNA from 1 species
GAUGAAGAACGCAGUGAAAUGCGAUACGUAAUGUGAAUUGCAGAAUUCAGUGAAUCAUCGAGUCUUUGAACGCACAUUGCGCCCCCUGGUAUUCCGGGGGGCAUGCCUGUCCGAGCGUCAUUGCUGCCCUCAAGCACGGCUUGUGUGUUGGGCCUCCUUCCUCCUCCCGGGGGACGGGCCCGAAAGGCAGCGGCGGCACCGCGUCCGGUCCUCGAGCGUAUGGGGCUUCGUCACCCGCUCUUGUAGGCCCGGCCGGCGCUUGCCGACACAUCAAUCUUUUUUCCAGGUUGACCUCGGAUCAGGUAGGGAUACCCGCUGAACUUAAGCAUAUCAAUAAGCGGAGGA